UACAGAGGGUGCGAGCGUUGUCCGGAAUCACUGGGCGUAAAGCGCACGUAGGCGGCUUUCUAAGUCAGGGGUGAAAUCCUGGAGCUCAACUCCAGAACUGCCUUUGAUACUGGAGAGCUUGAGUCCGGAAGAGGUGAGUGGAACUCCGAGUGUAGAGGUGAAAUUCGUAGAUAUUCGGAAGAACACCAGUGGCGAAGGCGGCUCACUGGUCCGGUACUGACGCUGAGGUGCGAAAGCGUGGGGAGCAAACAGG
rnacentral:rRNA from 1 species